rnacentral:rRNA from 1 species
UACGUAGGGAGCUAGCGUUGUCCGGAAUUAUUGGGCGUAAAGCGCGCGCAGGCGGUCCUUUAAGUCUGAUGUGAAAGCCCACGGCUCAACCGUGGAGGGUCAUUGGAAACUGGGGGACUUGAGUGCAGAAGAGGAGAGUGGAAUUCCACGUGUAGCGGUGAAAUGCGUAGAGAUGUGGAGGAACACCAGUGGCGAAGGCGACUCUCUGGUCUGUAACUGACGCUGAGGCGCGAAAGCGUGGGGAGCAAACAGG